rnacentral:lncRNA from 1 species
CACGCUUAGCCCGGACUCCUGCCGGUCCCGGCCCUGAGGAAGAGCCGGAAAGGACCCUCUAAUAGACUGGAGAGCGUCUGUGCAAGUAAUCCAAGUUGUGGAUGGCCCCAUGGGGGAGCCGACUGACUGUCUGGAGCAAGCAAACUGAGGACCUUGUUACAGAAUGCACAAAAUGUUUGGCAGCAGAAAUGCAUAAAAACAGCUGGCAGAAUAGAAGACGUGGGAGAAGGAGCCACCAGCAGAACCCUUGGUUCAGACAACAGGGUUCUGAAGAGAGGCA